rnacentral:rRNA from 1 species
GACGGGGGGGGCAAGUGUUCUUCGGAAUGACUGGGCGUAAAGGGUUCGUAGGCGGUGCGGCAAGUUGGGAGUGAAAUCUCUGGGCUUAACCCAGAGGCUGCUUCCGAAACUGCCGUGCUUGAGUGUGGGAGAGGCGCGUGGAAUUGCAGGUGUAGCGGUGAAAUGCGUAGAUAUCUGCAGGAACACCCGUGGCGAAAGCGGCGCGCUGGACCACUACUGACGCUGAGGAACGAAAGCUAGGGGAGCAAACAGG